AAAACGUCGAGAAAAAGAUAGCCUGCCUUAUGUGCAAGCGCACGGUGUCAGCCUCCUAUUUUCUUCUCGUUUU
rnacentral:ncRNA from 1 species